AGCGAUAGCACCUAGGAAAGUAAAAGAUUCCCACUCUCGGAUCGGAGUAUCGUUGAUUCCAGACUGAACAUCCGACGGAAUCGUAAAUCGCCAUGUCCACCGACUUCCAAUCCAUUCCUCUCAUCGAUAUUAGUCCUCUGGUUGCAAAGUGUGAUGAUCCGGAUGUUGGUGAGGACAAAGAUGUUGCAGAAGUUGUUAGACUUCUAGAUCAAGCUUGUAGAGAAGCUGGAUUCUUUUAUGUGAAAGGUCAUGGUAUUCCUGAUUCUCUUAUUAAAGAGGUUAGAGACAUGACACAUGAGUUCUUUGAUCUACCUUAUGAGGAGAAACUCAAGAUCAAAUUGUCUGAUGCAACUGGAUACAGGGGAUACCAGCGAGUCGGUGAAAAUAUAACUAAAGGCAUACCUGAUAGGCACGAAGCUAUCGACUGCUAUAAAGAACUAAACAAAGGGAUGUAUGGAGGUCUUGGCGACCCAUUAGUAGGAAACAACAAAUGGCCAACAAAGCCUCCAGAGUUCAAAAAGCUGAUGGAGGACUAUCUUAUCCUUUGCACAGAGCUAUCAAGAAAAAUCAUGCGAGGGAUCGCUCUGGCACUUGGUGGCUCAGUAGAUGAAUUCGAAGGCAAAAUAGCUGGAGAUCCAUUCUGGGUAUUUCGUAUAAUAGGUUACCCUGGUGCCGAGGGAUUGCAAAAGAACGAUGUUGGAUGCGGAGCCCACACCGACUAUGGUCUAUUGACAUUGGUUAAUCAGGAUGAUGACAAAACUGCACUUCAGGUAAGAUCCUCGAUCCUUGCCAGCCAUGCUCAUUCGGUAAGGGAAGUGACACCCGGUGAGAAACGUUUCAGGCGAAUGGAUAUCAGCAGUUCCCAUUCCUGGAACAUUCGUCUGCAAUAUCGGCGAUAUGCUUAAGAUUCUAACAAACGGUCUUUAUGAAUCCACAUUGCAUCGGGUCGUUAAUAACUCCCCAAAAUUCCGAGUCUGUGUGGCUUACUUUUACGAGCCAAACUUCAAUGCUGCAAUAAGUCCCUUGGAUAUGUGCGUAAAGAAGAGUGGUGGGAAUAAGAAGUUUGAAUCAGCUGUUUAUGGGGAGCAUCUAGUUAGUAAGGUUCUCACAAAUUUCACUUAUUAAAUCAAAUGUAACGGGUCUAGUGUAUCCCAUCUGGAGGUGCGGUCGGUAGAGGAUGGUAUGUAUGUCUUAAUUAUCUCAUUUACUUUCUAGUUUUCUCUGUAAACUUUGAUAAAACAACUGUAACAAUAAGAGUUCUUUAAACAAAAAUUUGAAUUGGUUAAAUAAUUCACAUAUG